GGAGAGAUGGCUCAGUGGUUAAGAGCACUGACUGUUCUUCCAGAGGACCUGGGUUCAAUUCCCAGCACCCCCA
rnacentral:tRNA from 1 species